GGAGAGGAAAAGGAAGAGGAGGGGAUUGAAGGAGAGGAAAAGGAAGAGGAGGGGAUUGAAGGGGGUGAAGUGCAAGGAAAACCAAGUGAGGUAGAGGAAGGGCAAAGGAAAAGAAGUGAAGGAGAGCAAGUG